rnacentral:rRNA from 1 species
CUCCUCCUACGGGGGGCAGCAGUAGGGAAUCUUCCACAAUGGACGAAAGUCUGAUGGAGCAACGCCGCGUGAGUGAAGAAGGGUUUCGGCUCGUAAAGCUCUGUUGGUAGUGAAGAAAGAUAGAGGUAGUAACUGGCCUUUAUUCGACGGUAAUUACUUAGAAAGCCACGGCUAACUACGUGCCCGCAGCCGCGGUAAUACGUAGGUGGCAAGCGUUGUCCGGAUUUAUUGGGCGUAAA